rnacentral:rRNA from 1 species
AGUCAAUAGAUACCCGGGUAGUCCCAGCUGUAAACGAUGCAGACUCGGUGAUGAGUUGGCUAUAUGCCAUCUCAGUGCCGCAGGGAAGCCGUUAAGUUUGCCGCCUGGGGAGUACGGUCGCAAGACUGAAACUUAAGGAAUUGGCGGGGAGCACCACAAGGGUGAAGCCUGCGGUUCAAUUGGAGUCAACGCCGGAAAUCUUACCGGGGGUCGACAGCAGUGUGAAGGUCAAGCUGAAGACUUUACCAGACAAGCUGAGAGGAGGUGCAUGGCCGUCGCCAGCUCGUGCCGUGAGGUAGUCCUGUUAAG